rnacentral:rRNA from 1 species
UACGUAGGUCGCAAGCGUUGUCCGGAAUUAUUGGGCGUAAAGAGCUCGUAGGCGGUCUGUUACGUCCGCUGUGAAAACCCAGGGCUUAACCCUGGGCUUGCAGUGGAUACGGGCAGACUAGAGGCAGGUAGGGGAGAAUGGAAUUCCCGGUGUAGCGGUGAAAUGCGCAGAUAUCGGGAGGAACACCGGUGGCGAAGGCGGUUCUCUGGGCCUGACCUGACGCUGAGGAGCGAAAGCGUGGGGAGCGAACAGG